AUUGAACGCUGGCGGCGGGCCUAACACAUGCAAGUCGAACGAGUAGCGGACGGGUGGGUAGUGGAUGAGCACCUGCCUGAUGGAGGGGGCUGAGUACUGGAACAGGUAGCUAAUAGCGCAUAACGUCCGUUGUGCCCAUAGGGGAUGAGCUAGUUGGUGUGGUAACGUCUCACCAAGGCGACGAUCCCUAGCUGGCCUGAGAGGCUGACCAGCCACACUGGAACGGAGACACGGCCCAGACUCCUACGGGAGGCAGCAGUGGGGAAUAUUGCACAAUGGGCGCAAGCCUGAUGCAGCAAUGCCGCGUGUAUGAAGAAGGCCUUCGGGUUGUAAAGUACUUUAAGCGGGGAGGCGUUACCCGCAGAAGAAGCACCGGCUAACUCCGUGCCAGCAGCCGCGGUAAUUC
rnacentral:rRNA from 1 species